UUACGCACAAUACAUGGCUUCAUGGAUUUAAAAGCAACACAAUCUUUUCAAACAAGUUGGUGAUGCAACCUCAAUACUACCCAAGGUUCCUACUUGGCUUGGUACAGAAAGAUGUAAAGUUGUUACUAUAAUGAAAUAAAUGCAUUGCUGCUAA